rnacentral:lncRNA from 1 species
AGAAUAUAAAGACAAAGCAAUCCAUAUCAAGUCAUGGAAGAAUAGAUGAGAGAUAACAAAGUAAUCCAUAUCAAGUCAUGGAAAGAAGAUACAAGCCAUAGCAAUCCAUAUCAAGUCAUGGAAGAACAAAUAGAAGGUAAACAUAGUAAUACAUACCAUGUCGUGGAACAAAAAGAUAGAAACUAAACAAAACAUAUCAAGUCAUGAAAGGAUAGAUGAAAUAUAAAUAGAGUAAUCCAUAUCAAGUCAUGGAAGAAGGAUACAAGCAAAUGACAAGUUAUAA